rnacentral:lncRNA from 1 species
AGGAGUUAAAGGACCUGCGUGAGCAGGGCCCGAAGUGCAGCCCCGUCUGAGCCCCCCUGGCUGCUCCCGUCCCGGCCCCUCGUCCGGCCUGGACCAUCCCUCCGACUGCCCCAGGUCCUCUCUGUUUUCCAAACUUUCCGUCCCACAAGGACCUUCUACAGGACAGCACCGCUCCGCCGGGCCAUUCUGUCACCACGAAUGCCACCAGCUGGUCUUUGAGAGCAAACCAGCGGAGCUCCUCCUGGCUCCCCUCCCCACGGCCACCCCGCACCUCGCUGCUCCUCUGGGCUGCACAUCUCACGGAGAGCACCCUCUGCGUUUGCUCCCAUCUUAGACCACGUGGGGCACGCGUGCCCCACCCCUUCACCAAAACCACCUGGCCAAGCUCAGCGGGCAGCUCUGCGGGCACCGGCUCCCACUGCGUCCUGUGGGUGAGUCUCUAGCCCUGGCGCUCUCCUCCUUUGCCUUCCAGGUCCUGGGUCUCUUGCUGCCCCCCGGCCACUCCCUCGCAUUCUCCUUUCAUUCCCUGACCUCUUACCUUUGACCUUUGGAGGCCGAAGGGAUGACCCCCUUUGCGAGUCUCACCCCGCCCUCCCAGCAGCCCUAUCACGAGGCUGGUUCUCAGUGGGGCUCAGGCUGUCGCUGGAGGGACGUGCUGGCCUUCGGUGGAGUUUAAGCAGCAGGAAGGCUGGGUUCCGGUGCCCCGCAGGCUGCAGGGUGGCACCCUGCUUCAGCAGAGCCAACACUCACACUGAAGGCCACUUCGGAUCAGGGCCAGGCUGGCAGGGCCUGCCCCGGGGGUGGGGGAUCAAGACAUGCAGUUCCGUGACCCCCAAGGAGCGGAGGGCAGGCCUGGGGGGACUCAGCACCUGGACUUGGAGAGGCCGCUCAAGGUCACACGGCCCAAGGUCACAUGGCUCAAGGUCGCACAGUGGGGGACAGGCUGAUUCCCACACUGCUCUUCCCACCCGUCCGCUGUCCAGGGAAGAGGCCGUUGGCGCCAGGGCCCCAGUUUCCACAUCGGUGUUGGGGGCUGCACCACGUACCCCCUGGCGCUCUUUCUCUCUGACGGCAAGAGCAGGGAAGCUGUAGUCGGAGGGAAGGAAUAAAAGCUGGGUGUUCGGUUCCCCGACCACCAGCAUGGGGGUGCAGCCAGCCCCCCUGUAAUCACACGUGGUUAACCUGAGGUACAGUUCUGAGCCCCAGGAGGCCUGCGCGGGGAGCUCCCGGCCCCAGGGGAAGUCUGUUCCCCUGUUUUCCCGCUGCGCACACGUUUCCUUCCUGGUGUUUAUUUUCCUUAGUUUGCGAACUCAGCUCCAACACAGCGUUCGCGGUGACAUCGCGUCUCCAUGGUGCGUGCGGGCCCCUCUGUCCAGCCCAGCGAGGCGAACCCCAGCACCGGAGAUCAGCUUCACUCCCGCACUUGGGCGCCGCAGGUGUGGCGGGACGGUCACACUCCCCACGGACGUGCCUGGACCCCCGGGUCAAAGGGGCGGAGCCGGAUCGAGCUCUCCCGGAGCGAAGUCCCACUUCCAGCACCUCUGCGGGUCGCGGCUGCCCCUGGGGUGCAGGGUCGGGUUGCCCUUUGUAGCCAGGACAUCCGAGGCCGAAGGUGAGCAGGAACCUGCCCGGGGUCACCCGUCUCAGCUGGAUGGGGCCGGGACGACUGAGCGCCCCACCCUCCGCCCUCUUCAAAGCUUUUCCUCUCCCUAAGCUUGGGUGCUGGGUCCAGACACCUGCCUCAAGGGCAGGCCGGCCUGUGCUGACCCCAGCCCCACCCUGCUCAGCAAAGCCAGGUGUUUGUUUCUGACUUUUCAAGCAGCAUAUUUUAGAGAAUAUCAGCCCCAGGCAGACACACGGGGAAGAAAAUAAAAAUCCCCCCCUGCCUUCUGCUGCCAGUUUAGCUCUUACUUUCCGAUCCUUGCAGAGGCUCCGCUGCAUGAGAGGGUCCACGCACGUGGAAGCAGAGCAGACGAGGGGCGUGAGGGCGGGGAUGCUUCGUGCCCAGGGCCUCCACAGGAUGGUGCAGAGUGACCUUGAGGGGAAGCUCCCCGAGCUCGGCCCCCCCCGCCACCCCUGUUACACCUGACGCCUCAGCACCUGCUGGGCAGGGGUGGCUCCAAAACCCAGACCAGGGAGAAAGGGAGAACGCCGCCCUGACCCCCAGUUCGCGGCCACCCUGGCUACUGUCACGACGUGACCACCCUGGUCGGGAGGAAGGACGACAUUCUGGCCGUGACCUCUGUUUGUGCACCUGUGUCACCUGGAGGGUAAGCCCUCCCGCCCACGACCGCAGCUCCCAGAGCAGGUCGUGCGGAGAAAAGCGCGGGAAACACAGGACCUGUCGAGCGGGCGGGGCUGACGGUGGUGCCUGCCCCUGGGGGGGGCGGGGGAAGGCGUGGCUCGGCCACUGUCCACCUCCAAGGUGGCAGAGGGGACCCUGCCCCAGUUAGCAAUGGACGCAAGAAUGCUGCCACCAAUGGCCCUUCAGGGCACAAGUAGGCGUUGGUGGGCGUCCCCGUGCCUGCAGGGCCCGGCUGCCCCGGGUUGGCGGAGGUUCCGGGGGCACUCACUGCCUCUGUGUCCCUGAGCCAGGCCCCACCCAGCCCAGGUGCACCCCCAGCCCGGGCCGAGCCCCUGCAUAUCCCUCUCCUGGCACCCACACUCUUCAAGGGAGCUCCCCACACAGGUCCUGGCCGGAGAGAAGGAUCAACCAAUUCAAAAUCUGCGCCCUGUUUCUUUUCAUCCAACUUUUUAUUUUGCGAACGUGCAAAUAACGGGAAGAAUAAUGUAAUAAACACCCACUGUACGCCUUCCCUGCGGUUCACCGGACUAGCAGUCCGUCACAUUCUCACCUUCUCUCUGUCUCUCUGUGUCUCUGUCUGUGUCUCUGUCUGUGUCUAUGUUUACACACACAUAUAUAUUCAGACAUAUUUGUAUAUAUGUGUUUAUAUAUAAUACAUUUUUGUUUGCUUUGUGACAUUUUUACUGAAGUAUAGUUAAUUUACAAUGUUGUGUUGGUUUCAAGUAUACAGCAAAUGAUUCAUGAUACACAUGCAUGUAUACCUGUUCUUUUUCAGAGGCUUUUCCUCUAUAGGUUAUCACACGAUAUUGGGCUCUGCAAUAGGUUUUUGUUGUUUAUCGGUUUGAUAUACCGUAGCGUGUGUCUGCUAACCUCAAAUUCCUAAUUAACCCCCAUCCACUUUGGUAGCCGUAAGGUUUUCUUCUAUGUCUGCGAGUCUUUUUCUGUUUGGUAAAUACGUUCAGCGUGUCACCUUUUUCGAUACCACAUGUAAGUGUUAUGAUAUUUGUCUUGUCUGAUCCCCCUCACCUGACCUGAUCUGUGUGGAAAUGCAUUUUGAGUUAGUUACCGGUGAACACAGCAUCACGGGCCCCCUCAAACCCAGCGCACUCCCCCCCGAAAAAUCCCACAUCUGAAAACUCCGUGCUGCUACUCUGCAGUGACUGUGAACUGCAUGUCCCCCAAAUUCAUGGUCAAAGCCUGAACCCCCAGGGGAUGGUGCUAGGAGGCGGGGCUUCCGGAAGGUGAGGGGGCGAGGUCAUGGGACCCCGGUGGUGGAUUAGGUCCCAGGAAGAAGAGAAAGAGCGGAGUUCCCUGGUGGCGCAGUGGUUGAGGAUCCCACAUCGUCGCUGCUGUGGCUCGGGUUUGAUCCCUGGCCAUGAACUUCUGCGCGUGGCUGGCUUGGCCACUCCCCGCCUCAAACAAAGAAGGAGAAAAAGAGGAAGAAGAGGAAGAGGGACCAGGGAGAGUUUUCUCACCACCUGAGCACAGAGAGGUUGCAGCUGUCACCAGCCUGACGGCGCCUCCCCGGGAGCCCAGCCCGGCCACGCCCUGACCUCAGACUCCCAGGCUCCAGGCUGUGGGCAAGUACGUUCCUGCUGCUGAAGCCCCAGGUCUGCAGGAUUUUGUUCGCAGCCUGAGCUAAGACAGUGACCAUCUGCUAUUAGUCCAAGUCCUAAUUUCCCUAAUUGUCCUGAAUUAUACUUUGUAUCUGAUUUUUUAAAUCGAGGAUUUAAUUGAGACC